rnacentral:lncRNA from 1 species
CAGAUCUUGAAGCUGUGAAGAGCUAGCAGGUCUGCAGACUGGAAGCAAGAGCUGCAGACUGGAAGCAAGAGCUGCACACUGGAUGGCUCUAUUACAUUUCUUAUCUUGUCCUGAUGGAAGUAUUGUUUUUAUCAUUAUAAAAUGUCCAGAACCAUUUAAAAUCAGUGCUGUUGGAAAAGGAAGAUACGAUAACUGAAAUUAAAUAUAUGUAUAUGUCAAAAGAAGAUUCUGAAGAUAAGUGGAAGAAAGCUAGCAAGGGGAACAAAAACAACAGUAAUUGAAAAUUCUAGAUUAAUGAUAAGAAUUUGAGAGGAUUGCUCCAGGAGGUCCAGGAACGGGGUCACUGCCUUGGACCUUGUAGUUUGCCUCUGCAUACAGCACGAGCCAUGUCAAAGAUGAUGGCUCCCAGUCUGAGGCUGAGCAAGAGGUCAGAAAUCGCAGCAGUUAGAGCAAAGGAGCCCCAGCCUGGUGCUCAGCUACCUGAGCCAGCCAGCUGACUAUGGACUGAAACACAGCCACAAUAAACCUCUCCUUCCUUAGCUUGUGGGUGUUGGGUAUCUUGUGCCAUCACAGAGUAAAGUGGCCAAGACAUCAACACUGUCCAUCGGCCCUCUUCUGAACACUGAGAUGUCUUAGCUGAUAAGAGCUGAGGUCCCUGCAUGCACAGUACUUACCUUUUAACUGGGAGAGACUAUAGGAAGAGAACUACCACUCAUUGAGCCCCGUUUAUGCACUGUGUAUCCUUGCAGACAUCUCCUCUGUGUUCAGGGAAGACUUCUCUGCCCCCUUCCACUAUCAUUGAGGACAGAUGCUAGAUCAGGAGCCAUUGCUGGGCCUGAGGUCUUCCAGAACAUGUGACCUGAGCUCAAAUGUAACAAUCAGGAAAACUUCACUACCUCCACCAGAAUUGCCACCCAGCCACGAUGCAGCUGAAGCGCACUACAGAAAAACUCCUGCCUGCACAAACCUGUUGUACAAACCUGUUUGCCCACAACAGCAGGAGAAGCUACAAGAAAAAUAAUGCCUCCUCAUUUCCAACUUCCAAAUCUCCCACAAUGCUUCUCAUUGGAGCAUUGAUUUGUAAAUCAAACCCUGGCAGGGAGAAAGCCAGAAAAAUUUAUUUUUUAGCUUUCUAGCCUCUGCACCCUGGAAGGGAAACAAUAGAUGAUGAGUGGCAAUUUCUUGUAUCCACAUGGUUUCCCUUCUUAGCCACCUGUAGUGUCCAUGGUUUGGUAGAGCAGUGUGGGAACCUAGAAAUGCAGCCCUCAGGUUAGAAGCUUUGGUUAACUUGGGUGUAGCCACCCUGGUCAGCCAUGAAGGCUGCACCAGCAGUGUCCUGGCCAAGGAGCUUCUUAGGUCUAUGUAAAGCUUCUGCCCUCAGAGAGAAGAACCGAGGAUUUAGGUUAUACCAUGAGAGUCCUUGGAAGAUCACAGUGGGAUUGUGGGUCACAUGCUUGCCUGAUGACCUUGCUAAGCAUUUAGCCAAGCUUGAAGUUGUCUGUGCACAGUGGGACCAAGGAGUUUGAGAACACAGGUCUGAUAAGUAGGAGCUGUCACCAACCACCAGCUUUGAGAGAAACUGACAUGGGCUGGGGCUGGGGAUUCCCUGGCUUUUCCUCUACAUCAUAGUUCACCUCCAUGGGGAGUUCCUUUGUAUUAUUAUUGUAGCAGUGGUAUUGGUCUUUUUGAGACAGGAUCUUGCUAUGUAGUUCUCACUGUGUAACAGCCUGGGCUGGCUUUGCGCUUGCAGCAAUCCUCCUGCUUCAGCCUCCCAAGUGCUGGGAUUGAUUAUAGGCCCAGCUAGUGGAUUUGCAGAGUUGACUAGACAAGAGACUUAGAUUAGCCAGUCCAGUAUGGAGGUCACAUCUUAGUCUUCAAAAGUUUCUGCAGAGGCACUCAAGAGUGUUUCAUGCCAGGUGAGGACUGACUCCUCUCCCUGAGUCCUCGCUGAAACCCUGAAGUCUCUUAAUUGGGCUCCUGUUCAGCACAGACACAUCUCAGGUACAUGGUUGCCACCAACCCAGUGUCCUCCCAGUUCUUGAGUAAGGAUGAGUGGCAGGAAGUCUCUGGCCACAGAUUCCCUCAUCUGCAACAUGAAGAUUAAGGCUCACCAUAUCCCCAGGAGGCUGGGAGAUUUCACGAGAGCCUACAGGAAAGCACUCAGCUUAUUUCCCAGUGUGGAUUUAGGGUUACGUGAGAGGAAGCCUUGGGCCUUAGGAGGAGGGAGUGGUGGAGCCUCCCGUGGGCCUCCAAGUGCGCUGCCUCAGGCUGCACCUGCACUAUUCUGUCUGUCUCUUUUGAGGAAUCGAAGCAUCUUAACAAAGGUAUGAACAGUGAUCGGUGCCCAUGCCAGCAGGAAGAGAUCAAGUCAUCUUUGUAUAACUUGUUCUAGAAGGGAGGAAAAACUGAGUACAGUGGUACAUGCCUUUAAUCCCACCCACUUGGGAGGCUGAGGCAGGAGAAUCACCAGUUUGAGGCCAGCCUGGACAACUUAGCAGGGUCUGAGAGACAGAGAGAGAGAGAGAGAGAGAGAUCAUAGAAGCAGGAAAGACUUCUAUAUGAAAUAGUUAAAAUAAAGAAAGUGGUAUUUACAGGAAUGCCUUAGUUGAUUGGGAAAUUUCCUCAUACAAAAGAACCUUUUUUUGUGACAAUAGCUGAUACUGUCCUUUUCCUUUCUAGUUUUUAGUCCAAGAUGAUUCCCUCGGAACUGUUAAGUAGAGGCUGCAUGAUUCCAUGCAAACUCUCGAGACUAGGAAUAAGAAAAUCUGGUUUCUAUAUCUGCCCCCGUACAGUUGUUGACUGAAUAACUGUUACAUAACUGUUAAUGUCUAGAAACAUCGGUUUCUUCAUCUGCAGGAUGGAGAUAAUACUGAGCAGUGUGCCUGUUUCCCAGAACCCUGGUGAGGGUUGGUGGCAGUUACAGCCAGUGCUCUGGAGUCAGCCUGCUCUGAGGCUUCCUGGUCUGUUCCUCCCACAGCCGCCCCCUUCUUCAGACCUGACUUCGCCCACGUUCCCUGCCACAGGCCUUACUGGGAGGUAGAGCGAGCCACAUACGUUUGUAUGGAUUUUCCUG